CGUAUCACCCAAGACAACUUUACGGAGUUGACGAUUGACGGAGCGAAGCGACGUCAAAGCGUUCAUUAAAGUCGAGUUGGCUUAGGGAUACGUUCGUUGGGUAGGGGAGCGUUCUGUAAGCCUGUGAAGGUGGCCUGUGAGGGUUGCUGGAGGUAUCAGAAGUGCGAAUGCUGACAUAAGUAACGAUAAAGCGGGUGAAAAGCCCGCUCGCCGGAAGACCAAGGGUUCCUGUCCAACGUUAAUCGGGGCAGGGUGAGUCGACCCCUAAGGCGAGGCCGAAAGGCGUAGUCGAUGGGAAACGGGUUAAUAUUCCCGUACUUGGUGUUACUGCGAAGGGGGGACGGAGAAGGCUAUGUUGGCCGGGCGACGGUUGUCCCGGUUUAAGCGUGUAGGCUGGUUUUCCAGGCAAAUCCGGAAAAUCAAGGCUGAGGCGUGACGACGAGGCACUACGGUGCUGAAGCAACAAAUGCCCUGCUUCCAGGAAAAGCCUCUAAGCAUCAGGUAACAUCAAAUCGUACCCCAAACCGACACAGGUGGUCGGGUAGAGAAUACCAAGGCGCUUGAGAGAACUCGGGUGAAGGAACUAGGCAAAAUGGUGCCGUAACUUCGGGAGAAGGCACGCUGACACGUAGGUGAAGUGAUUUACUCAUGGAGCUGAAGUCAGUCGAAGAUACCAGCUGGCUGCAACUGUUUAUUAAAAACACAGCACUGUGCAAACACGUAAGUGGACGUAUACGGUGUGACGCCUGCCCGGUGCCGGAAGGUUAAUUGAUGGGGUCAGCGCAAGCGAAGCUCCUGAUAGAAGCCCCGGUAAACGGCGGCCGUAACUAUAACGGUCCUAAGGUAGCGAAAUUCCUUGUCGGGUAAGUUCCGACCUGCACGAAUGGCGUAAUGAUGGCCAGGCUGUCUCCACCCGAGACUCAGUGAAAUUGAACUCGCUGUGAAGAUGCAGUGUACCCGCGGCAAGACGGAAAGACCCCGUGAACCUUUACUAUAGCUUGACACUGAACAUUGAGCCUUGAUGUGUAGGAUAGGUGGGAGGCUUUGAAGCGUGGACGCCAGUCUGCGUGGAGCCGACCUUGAAAUACCACCCUUUAAUGUUUGAUGUUCUAACGUGGACCCGU
rnacentral:rRNA from 2 species